rfam:Schistosoma rodhaini strain Burundi genome assembly, scaffold: SROB_scaffold0005185
GCAUCGCUGAGGAGUCCCCGAAUAGGACGAAAUGGCCGUCCAGUGC